ensembl:lncRNA
GUACAUAUAAGGUAGACAUAUUUUUCGGUAAACAUUGAUUGAUAAAUUUCAGGUCCAAAAAAUUACCAACAUUUCAGUAACAUCUUUAAAUGGAUUUGUAUUUUAUUUAAGACAAAACUUUACAGACACUUAAAAACUAGUCAUACAUAUAGAGGCAAGACCUAUGAAUGACUUAAUCAAUAGACAAUGCCUAGUAAUCUUGUGGACUGGAGCAUACUUUGCAUUCUUCUCUUCCAUGGGGUAAGAACAACUAUUGAUUAAGCCAACCAAAUCUUCCCCUCCCAUUCGAUGACUAAAUAAGCAGCCUGGAGAGGAAACAGAACCUUCUCAAACGCACUGUUGGGCUGCACCUGCAGGCCUGUAAGCCCUAUACUUGCUCAGCCACAAGACAGAAGAAAGAGCUCAGAGACAGAGACACAAUGCUUUAUUGACAGAAGAUCUCAUCACAAAAUGGUCCUGGAAUGACAUUCCUUUGUGGAUGCGGACAACAGGCAGCCAUCUUUGCUACCGUGGUGGGAGGGAGGUUACCAGUUAUGGAGGGAACUGACAUCAGGUUGGUUCAUUGGUUACCAGGGAAAUGAUCAGAGGCACGUGCCCCUCACUACCCUUUGAUAAACUGUCCUAAUGGAGACCUUCUGAUCUAAAGUUUAGAACAAUCACUAGCUGGGGCCAGCGGGCAAGUACCUAGGCAUUUACUGAUUAGGUUCUAUGAUCAAGAGGGAAGGUCAGUCAGAUGAGUAGAGUAUAGGUGAGGCAGGGACUGAUUGAGCAGGGGAGGUAGAGAGAGAGAACAGCCAUCCUGGAUGGCCUGAUCAUACACCCACUCACUAUUUGAAGUUAAAACUUGAAGCAGUUUCACAACCAAAAUUUGUUGCAUCUAGGGGCAUUGAAAUAGGAGGUGUUGACUGGGCAGAAGACAUCUCAAGCUGGGCCACAGGUGACUCUUCCAUUAUAAGGCAGAUAUCAUUCAUGAAGAUAGCCAGAGUAGAGACUUACUGUCUUUCACUGUUGGAGGUCAACCUUACAGAGGCCACUCAGGCCUUUUAGAGUAGAGGCUACAGGGAGGUUUUGCAACACAGCUCAGUCUCUAAGGAGAACCCAGGCUGUUAGCUAAAACUGAGUGAUCAGAGGCCCUGCAUAUUUUACUGUCCACUAGAACUUACUCCAAGAGGUCUUCUGAGCCCUGGAGGCAAAGGACACUGUGAGGCAGAGCUGAAAAUGUAAUAGCAUGUGAACAGACUAGGGUACCACAAUGAAAGUCUAUGGGCUUCAAUAGGAAAUAGAGCGGGGGUUCAAAUCCUUCUUAGAUUUAUGGCCUUGGUGGAGUUUUACUUAACUUUCCAGAUUUCAAUUUCUAAAUCUGUAAAAUGGGACUGUUCUGAGGACUGACUAAAUGAACUACAUCAAAGCCUGAUACAGGUACAUUGUUCAACAAAUGUUCCGUUUCACAGAAUCAUUAGGAAAAUUCAAACUCCUCUCCAGUAGGAAAACUACAGCUUGACAAAUCUUUUUUUUCCCCAGAACUGUCAAAACUGACAAAUUGUCAAUUUUGUCAAAUUGUCAAAAAUGACAAUUCUGUCCAUUUUUCCAACGCUUUGUUCUUUCAUUUCUUCUUCUCCCCAAUUUCCUCAAAUCCAGCUCUAUUUCAAAGCAGCUUUAAAUCUAAAGCUUUGACCCAUUUUAAGAUGGGUCAGUUCAGCUAACUACACCUGGCUAAGCCACACCCAGAUUUCUGAUCCAUAGAAACUGUGAAAGAAUAAAUAUUUGUUGUUUUACGCCACUAAUUUUGGGGGUAAUUUGUUACACAGCACUAGAUAAUAAACAUAUCAUUAGUCCUGAGGGAAAUGCAAAUUAAAGCUAUAAUGAGAUACCACUAUAUACUAAAAGGGGUAAAAUUUAAAAGAUUGUACAAAUAGGUUUUGGUGAACAGAUGAAGUAAUUCAAACUCACCUACUGCUAACAGAAAUAAAAGAAAUACAGCCACUUUGUGAAAAGUUUAGCAAUUUCUUAAAAAUUUAAGAAAUUGGUCAGAUGGUAGAUAGAUGUCUACCAUCUGACCCAGAUAUUCUUCUCCUACGUAUUUAUUGAAGGUAUUUAGCCACACAAAGACUUAUACAAAAC